rnacentral:lncRNA from 10 species
CACGGUUCAAGACGACGAUGUGACAGAGAGAAAACAAGCCUCUCUCUUGUCUGUGACCCGCGAGGCGACCGCGGCGAGCGGGGACCGGCUCCCCACUCCGAUUAGGCAAUUAGCUGAUUGCUGCCCGCCCGCAGCCCGAGCGAGCGGUGCGCGGGGAUCUCGCUGCCUGCCCACCUCUCCUGCAAACAGAGGCACGUUCUCCGACUUUGAUAGCUCCCUGGGUUCCUGUGAAAAACAACCACAGCGUUUCCAGAGUGUGUUUCUCAAAUACCAGCGUCAGGGGAUCGCAGAAUUACAGCAACAAAUGUUACGAGGAAUCUUGCUAGGCUCUUGA